rnacentral:rRNA from 1 species
GAUCAUGGCUCAGGAUGAACGCUGGCGGCGUGCUUAACACAUGCAAGUCGAACGAAGCACUUAAGAUUGAUUCUUCGGAUGAUUUCUUUUGUGACUUAGUGGCGGACGGGUGAGUAACGCGUGGGUAACCUGCCUCGACACAGGGGGAUAACAGUUAGAAAUGACUGCUAAUACCGCAUAACCCGAUAGGAUCGCAUGAUCCGGACGGAAAAGAUUUAUCGGUGUGAGAUGGACCCGUCG